rnacentral:rRNA from 1 species
UAGGGAAUAUUGGACAAUGGGCGCAAGCCUGAUCCAGCCAUGCCGCGUGAGUGAAGAAGGCCCUCGGGUUGUAAAGCUCUUUUGUCCGGAAAGAAAAGCAUCGGGUUAAUACCCCGGUGUUCUGACGGUACCGGAAGAAUAAGCACCGGCUAACUUCGUGCCAGCAGCCGCGGUAAUACGAAGGGUGCAAGCGUUACUCGGAAUUACUGGGCGUAAAGCGUGCGUAGGUGGUUCGUUAAGUCUGAUGUGAAAGCCCUGGGCUCAACCUGGGAAUGGCAUUGGAAACUGGCGGACUAGAGUGCGGUAGAGGGUAGCGGAAUUCCCGGUGUAGCAGUGAAAUGCGUAGAGAUCGGGAGGAACAUCCGUGGCGAAGGCGGCUACCUGGACCAGCACUGACACUGAGGCACGAAAGCGUGGGGAGCAAACAGG